GGACGGGUGAGUAACACGUGGAUAACCUACCUAUAAGACUGGGAUAACUUCGGGAAACCGGAGCUAAUACCGGAUAAUAUAUUGAACCGCAUGGUUCAAUAGUGAAAGACGGUUUUGCUGUCACUUAUAGAUGGAUCCGCGCCGCAUUAGCUAGUUGGUAAGGUAACAGCUUACCAAGGCAACGAUGCGUAGCCGACCUGAGAGGGUGAUCGGCCACACUGGAACUGAGACACGGUCCAG
rnacentral:rRNA from 1 species